GAUGAACGCUGGCGGCGUGCCUAAUACAUGCAAGUCGAGCGAACAGACGAGGGGCUUGCUCCUCUGACGUUAGCGGCGGACGGGUGAGUAACACGUGGAUAACCUACCUAUAAGACUGGGAUAACUUCGGGAAACCGGAGCUAAUACCGGAUAAUAUAUUGAACCGCAUGGUUCAAUAGUGAAAGACGGUUUUGCUGUCACUUAUAGAUGGAUCCGCGCCGCAUUAGCUAGUUGGUAAGGUAACGGCUUACCAAGGCGACGAUGCGUAGCCGACCUGAGAGGGUGAUCGGCCACACUGGAACUGAGACACGGUCCAGACUCCUAAGGGAGGCAGCAGUAGGGAAUCUUCCGCAAUGGGCGAAAGCCUGACGGAGCAACGCCGCGUGAGUGAUGAAGGUCUUCGGAUCGUAAAACUCUGUUAUUAGGGAAGAACAAAUGUGUAAGUAACUAUGCACGUCUUGACGGUACCUAAUCAGAAAGCCACGGCUAACUACGUG
rnacentral:rRNA from 1 species